rnacentral:rRNA from 1 species
GAAUCCGCYAAGGAGUGUGUAACAACUCACCUGCCGAAUGAAUUAGCCCUGAAAAUGGAUGGCGCUGAAGCGGGCGGCCGACACCACGCCGUCUGAUAAAGAAUGAUGAUCAGAUGAGUAGGAGGGCGUGGUGGCCGUGUCGAAGCAUGCGUGCAGACGCGUGUGGAACGGCCACUAGUGCAGAUCUUGGUGGUAGUAGCAAGUAUUCAAGCGAGAUCCUUGAAGGGCGAAGCGGGGAAGGGUUCCACGCGAACAUUGAUUGGGCGUGGGUGAGUCGUUCCUAAGCCGAGUGGCGAUUGCUAAGUAGCGGCGAAAGGGAAGCGGGUUGACAUUCCCGCACACGGAUGUGGAGGCGGUGACGCGUAUUGGGGCGAACACGCUGGCGACGGCGCUGGGCAGAGUUGUCUUUUCUGUUUGACCAGUUUUGCACGCGGUGUGGAAUCCGCUUGUCGGGAGAAACACGCGUGUCGGGGCAGAGCGCCGAGUGUUUUUCGGCGUCCAGCUCGCCGUCGACGGCCCUUGAAACUUUGCCUGCUGAUUUAAAUCCACGCCGUGGCGUACCGAUCACCGCAUCAGGUCCCCAAGGUGAACAGCCUCUGCUCGAUAUGAACAAUGCAGGUAAGGGAAGUCGGCA